rnacentral:rRNA from 1 species
UACGAAGGGUGCUAGCGUUGUUCGGAAUUACUGGGCGUAAAGCGCGCGUAGGCGGCUUUGCAAGUCAGGGGUGAAAUCCCACGGCUCAACCGUGGAAUUGCCUUUGAAACUGCAGAGCUGGAGUGUCGGAGGGGAUAGCGGAAUUGCUAAUGUAGCGGUGAAAUGCGUAGAUAUUAGCAGGAACACCGGUGGCGAAGGCGGCUAUCUGGACGACAACUGACGCUGAUGCGCGAAAGCGCGGGGAUCAAACAGG